UACGAAGGGGGCUAGCGUUGCUCGGAAUCACUGGGCGUAAAGCGCACGUAGGCGGGUCGCUAAGUCGGGGGUGAAAUCCUGGGGCUCAACUCCAGAACUGCCUUCGAUACUGGCGAUCUUGGAGUCCGGGAGAGGUGAGUGGAACUCCGAGUGUAGAGGUGAAAUUCGUAGAUAUUCGGAAGAACACCAGUGGCGAAGGCGGCUCUCUGGCCCGGUACUGACGCUGAGGUGCGAAAGCGUGGGGAGCAAACAGG
rnacentral:rRNA from 1 species